rnacentral:snoRNA from 1 species
UUGAUAAAAGAAACAAACAAAAUUGUGGCAACAGGAAUGUAUUAGUCUCAGAAGCUACUGAGGUGGCCCAUUCUAUCCUAGUAUAGCA